rnacentral:rRNA from 1 species
UACGGAGGGUGCAAGCGUUAUCCGGAUUCACUGGGUUUAAAGGGAGCGCAGGCGGACUUGUAAGUCAGUGGUGAAAUCUCCGGGCUUAACCCGGAAACUGCCAUUGAUACUAUCAGUCUUGAAUACCGUGGAGGUAAGCGGAAUAUGUCAUGUAGCGGUGAAAUGCUUAGAUAUGACAUAGAACACCAAUUGCGAAGGCAGCUUACUACCCGAAUAUUGACACUGAGGCACGAAAGCGUGGGGAUCAAACAGG